GACGAACGCUGGCGGCGUGCCUAACACAUGCAGGUCGAGCGAAGUGCUUGCGACAGAUUCCUUCGGGAUGAAGAUGCAAGUAUCUUAGCGGCGGACGGGUGAGUAACGCGUGAGAAACCUGCCUUUCACAAAGGGAUAGCCUCGGGAAACUGGGAUUAAUACCUUAUGACACUUAGAAUUCACAUGAAAUUUAAGUUAAAGCGUAAAGCGGUGAAAGAUGGUCUCGCGUCCCAUUAGCUAGUUGGUGAGAUAGAAGCUUACCAAGGCGACGAUGGGUAGCCGGCCUGAGAGGGUGAACGGCCACACUGGAACUGAGACACGGUCCAG
rnacentral:rRNA from 1 species